rnacentral:rRNA from 1 species
AGAUUGAACGCUGGCGGCAGGCCUAACACAUGCAAGUCGAGCGGCAGCACGGGUACCUGUACCUGGUGGCGAGCGGCGGACGGGUGAGUAAUGCCUAGGAAUCUGCCUGGUAGUGGGGGAUAACGCUCGGAAACGGACGCUAAUACCGCAUACGUCCUACGGGAGAAAGCAGGGGACCUUCGGGCCUUGCGCUAUCAGAUGAGCCUAGGUCGGAUUAGGCUAGUUGGUGAGGUAAUGGCUCACCAAGGCGACGAUCCGUAACUGGUCUGAGAGGAUGAUCAGUCACACUGGAACUGAGACACGGUCCAGACUCCUACGGGAGGCAGCAGUGGGGAAUAUUGGACAAUGGGCGAAAGCCUGAUCCAGCCAUGCCGCGUGUGUGAAGAAGGUCUUCGGAUUGUAAAGCAACUUUAAGUUGGAGAAGGCAGUUACCUAAUACGUAUCUGUUUGACGUUACGACAGAAUAAGCACCGGCUAACUCUAGUG